rnacentral:rRNA from 1 species
CCCUGGCUCAGGACGAACGCUGGCGGCGUGCCUAAUACAUGCAAGUCGAGCGAAUGAUGAAGAAGCUUGCUUCUUCUGAUUUAGCGGCGGACGGGUGAGUAACACGUGGGCAACCUACCUAGUAGAUUGGGAUAACUCCGGGAAACCGGGGCUAAUACCGAAUAAUCCAUUUUGUCACAUGGCAAAAUGCUGAAAGGCGGUUUCGGCUGUCACUACUAGAUGGGCCCGCGGUGCAUUAGCUAGUUGGUGGGGUAAUGGCCUACCAAGGCAACGAUGCAUAGCCGACCUGAGAGGGUGAUCGGCCACAUUGGGACUGAGACACGGCCCAAACUCCUACGGGAGGCAGCAGUAGGGAAUCUUCCACAAUGGACGAAAGUCUGAUGGAGCAACGCCGCGUGAGUGAUGAAGGUUUUCGGAUCGUAAAACUCUGUUGUAAGGGAAGAACAAGUACGUUAGUAACUGAACGUACCUUGACGGUACCUUAUUAGAAAGCCACGGCUAACUA